GGGGUGUGCUCAGAGCAGGAGGCCUGAAGAAAUGGCUCCUCUGUUUAUAACACACCCAACAGGCAUUUGGGUUCAUGUGACAAGGGGCAAAAGAUUCAUGGCCUUCCUAUGAACAAAUACCCAACACAU
ensembl:snoRNA